AGGUAUUAGGUUGGUGCAAAAGUAAUUGCCGUUUUUGCCACUUUCAAUGGCAAAAACUGCAAUUACUCUUGCACCAACCUAAUA
rnacentral:miRNA from 1 species